rnacentral:rRNA from 1 species
UACAGAGGUGGCAAGCGUUGUUCGGAAUUACUGGGCGUAAAGGGCGCGUAGGCGGUCUUUUAAGUUCCGUGUGAAAUCCCUCGGCUCAACUGGGGAACUGCACGGGAAACUGGAAGGCUUGAGUUCGGGAGAGGGAAGCGGAAUUCCGGGUGUAGCGGUGAAAUGCGUAGAUAUCCGGAGGAACACCGGUGGCGAAGGCGGGUCUCUGGGCCGAUACUGACGCUGAGGAGCGAAAGCGUGGGGAGCGAACAGG